rnacentral:lncRNA from 1 species
GAAAAAUCUUGGAUUUAUAAUUUUUUGAAAAAAAUAUGCAGUAAUGAUAAUUUGGCUCCCCAUCCUUAAAAUAUAUUCUGGCGGCGGUGUCUCAAAAUAAUCAGAAAAUCUAAUCCUCUCCUAUAAUUUCGAGUACUCCUUCUUUAAAUAUAUGACUAUGGCUGUGUUUUGUUAAUGAAUAUAAACCCUGAAUUGUCCUUCAUAUUAUGUUUGUUUGUUUCCCUCAUUCCCCUUCUCACCUAUCAGAAGAAUGUUUUUGGAUCUCAUUACAUGAUGGUGACUUGGAAUGCCAUCGUUCCAUGACGAGCCACUGAUAUAAUAAUGAUAUGUAUGUAGAUAACAACAACGCCAAGCAACGAUUAAAUAUUUAUCAAUCUAACCCUGGGAAAGAAAGAGUUAAGUAUACUUAUAUGUAUAAUCAUAAGGAAGAAAUUUGAUAUCUCACUAGGAACCAUGUCGACUAUUUGCGUCUUCAAUGUGUAGUAGUAUAUUAUAAUUGUUAUAAAUGACUGAAUAUAUUUAAGUAUGUAUGUAAUCAUAAAAAUCGAAAAAUACAUAUUUCUAAUAACAUUUAAUAAGAAUAAAUAUAUAAUUGA